CUUCAACGACCCCAACCACAACGCCCGUUCGCGACCCUGACCGUAGGUGGCCAGCAGUGCCUGGGCCUC
rnacentral:antisense_RNA from 1 species